CCUGUGAGGGUUGCUGGAGGUAUCAGAAGUGCGAAUGCUGACAUAAGUAACGAUAAAGCGGGUGAAAAGCCCGCUCGCCGGAAGACCAAGGGUUCCUGUCCAACGUUAAUCGGGGCAGGGUGAGUCGACCCCUAAGGCGAGGCCGAAAGGCGUAGUCGAUGGGAAACGGGUUAAUAUUCCCGUACUUGGUGUUACUGCGAAGGGGGGACGGAGAAGGCUAUGUUGGCCGGGCGACGGUUGUCCCGGUUUAAGCGUGUAGGUGUGUGUUCCAGGUAAAUCCGGUUCACUUUAACACUGAGGCGUGACGACGAGGCACUACGGUGCUGAAGCAACAAAUGCCCUGCUUCCAGGAAAAGCCUCUAAGCAUCAGGUAACAUCAAAUCGUACCCCAAACCGACACAGGUGGUCAGGUAGAGAAUACCAAGGCGCUUGAGAGAACUCGGGUGAAGGAACUAGGCAAAAUGGUGCCGUAACUUCGGGAGAAGGCACGCUGACACGUAGGUGAAGUGAUUUACUCAUGGAGCUGAAGUCAGUCGAAGAUACCAGCUGGCUGCAACUGUUUAUUAAAAACACAGCACUGUGCAAACACGAAAGUGGACGUAUACGGUGUGACGCCUGCCCGGUGCCGGAAGGUUAAUUGAUGGGGUCAGCGCAAGCGAAGCUCCUGAUCGAAGCCCCGGUAAACGGCGGCCGUAACUAUAACGGUCCUAAGGUAGCGAAAUUCCUUGUCGGGUAAGUUCCGACCUGCACGAAUGGCGUAAUGAUGGCCAGGCUGUCUCCACCCGAGACUCAGUGAAAUUGAACUCGCUGUGAAGAUGCAGUGUACCCGCGGCAAGACGGAAAGACCCCGUGAACCUUUACUAUAGCUUGACACUGAACAUUGAGCCUUGAUGUGUAGGAUAGGUGGGAGGCUUUGAAGUGUGGACGCCAGUCUGCAUGGAGCCGACCUUGAAAUACCACCCUUUAAUGUUUGAUGUUCUAACGUGGACCCGUUACCCGGGUUGCGGACAGUGUCUGGUGGGUAGUUUGACUGGGGCGGUCUCCUCCUAAAGAGUAACGGAGGAGCACGAAGGUUGGCUAAUCCUGGUCGGACAUCAGGAGGUUAGUGCAAUGGCAUAAGCCAGCUUGACUGCGAGCGUGACGGCGCGAGCAGGUGCGAAAGCAGGUCAUAGUGAUCCGGUGGUUCUGAAUGGAAGGGCCAUCGCUCAACGGAUAAAAGGUACUCCGGGGAUAACAGGCUGAUACCGCCCAAGAGUUCAUAUCGACGGCGGUGUUUGGCACCUCGAUGUCGGCUCAUCACAUCCUGGGGCUGAAGUAGGUCCCAAGGGUAUGGCUGUUCGCCAUUUAAAGUGGUACGCGAGCUGGGUUUAGAACGUCGUGAGACAGUUCGGUCCCUAUCUGCCGUGGGCGCUGGAGAACUGAGGGGGGCUGCUCCUAGUACGAGAGGACCGGAGUGGACGCAUCACUGGUGUUCGGGUUGUCAUGCCAAUGGCACUGCCCGGUAGCUAAAUGCGGAAGAGAUAAGUGCUGAAAGCAUCUAAGCACGAAACUUGCCCCGAG
rnacentral:rRNA from 1 species